rnacentral:snRNA from 2 species
UCGCUUUCGCAGCAUGUAUACUAAAAUUGGAACGAUUAGCAUGGCCCCUGCACAAGGAUGACCUACAAAUUCAUGAAGCAUUCCAUAUUUUU